CAAUUCAUCAUGUCCUCAAAUCAUUAGCUUUGUCUGGUGCAUUUUCUCUUAUCUUUGUAACUACACUUAAAUAUGUACCUAUGUUUCUUCAGAAUGGUGAAG